rnacentral:rRNA from 1 species
CCUUGACAUACUAAGAACUUUCCAGAGAUGGAUUGGUGCCUUCGGGAACUUAGAUACAGGUGCUGCAUGGCUGUCGUCAGCUCGUGUCGUGAGAUGUUGGGUUAAGUCCCGCAACGAGCGCAACCUUUUCCUUAUUUGCCAGCGGGUCAUGCCGGGAACUUUAAGGAUACUGCCAGUGACAAACUGGAGGAAGGCGGGGACGACGUCAAGUCAUCAUGGCCCUUACGGCCAGGGCUACACACGUGCUACAAUGGUCGGUGCAAAGGGUUGCUACCUCGCGAGAGGAUGCUAAUCUCAAAAAGCCGAUCGUAGUCCGGAUCGCAGUCUGCAACUCGACUGCGUGAAGUCGGAAUCGCUAGUAAUCGCGGAUCAGAAUGCCGCGGUGAAUACGUUCCCGGGCCUUGUACACACCGCCCGUCACACCAUGGGAGUUUGUUGCACCAGAAGUAGGUAGUCUAACCGCAAGGAGGACGCUUACCACGGUGUGGCCGAUGACUGGGGUGAAGUCGUAACAAGGUAGGCGUAGAUGA